GACGAACGCUGGCGGCGUGCCUAAUACAUGCAAGUCGAGCGAACAGACGAGGAGCUUGCUCCUUUGUCGUUAGCGGAGGACGGGUGAGAAACAUGUGGAUAACCUCCCUAUAAGACUGGGAAAACUUCGAGAAACCGGAGAAAAUCCCGGAUAAUAUACUGAUCCGUGUGGGUGGAUGGUGAAAGACGGCUUUGGUGUAUCUACUAGCUGGAUCCGCGCCGCAUUAGCUAGUUGGUAAGGUAACGGCUUACCAAGGGGACGAUGCGUAGGCGAGCUACGAGGGUGGUCGGCCACACUGGAACUUAGACACGGUCCUGACGCCUACGGGACGCACCAGUAGGGAAUCUUCCGCAAUAGGCGAAAGCCUUACGGAGUGACGCCGCGUGAGUUAUGAAGGUCUUCGGAUCGUAAAACUCUGUUAUUAGUGAAGAACAAAUGUGUAAGUAACUGUGCACGGCUUGACGGUACCUAAUCAGAAAGCCACGGCUAACUACGUG
rnacentral:rRNA from 1 species